rnacentral:rRNA from 1 species
AGUGAACGCUGGCGGUAGGCCUAACACAUGCGAGUCGAACGGCAGCACAGUAAGAGCUUGCUCUUACGGGUGGCGAGUGGCGGACGGGUGAGGAAUACAUCGGAAUCUACUUUUUCGUGGGGGAUAACGUAGGGAAACUUACGCUAAUACCGCAUACGACCUACGGGUGAAAGCAGGGGAUCUUCGGACCUUGCGCGAUUGAAUGAGCCGAUGUCGGAUUAGCUAGUUGGCGGGGUAAAGGCCCACCAAGGCGACGAUCCGUAGCUGGUCUGAGAGGAUGAUCAGCCACACUGGAACGGAGAAACGGUCCAGACUCCUACGGGAGGCAGCAGUGGGGAAUAUUGGACAAUGGGCGCAAGCCUGAUCCAGCCAUACCGCGUGGGUGAAGAAGGCCUUCGGGUUGUAAAGCCCUUUUGUUGGGAAAGAAAAGCAGCAGGUUAAUACCCCGCUGUUCUGACGGUACCCAAAGAAUAAGCACCGGCUAACUUCGUG